rnacentral:rRNA from 1 species
AUUGAACGCUGGCGGCAUGCCUUACACAUGCAAGUCGAACGGUAACAGGUCUUCGGAUGCUGACGAGUGGCGAACGGGUGAGUAAUACAUCGGAACGUGCCUAGUAGUGGGGGAUAACUACUCGAAAGAGUGGCUAAUACCGCAUGAGAUCUACGGAUGAAAGCAGGGGAUCGCAAGACCUUGUGCUACUAGAGCGGCCGAUGGCAGAUUAGGUAGUUGGUGGGAUAAAAGCUUACCAAGCCGACGAACUGUAGCUGGUCUGAGAGGACGAUCAGCAGCACUGGGACUGAGACACGGCCCAGACUCCUACUGGAGGCAUCAGUGGGGAAUUUUGGACAAUGGGCGAAAGCCUGAUCCAGCAAUGCCGCGUGCAGGAUGAAGGCCUUCGGGUUGUAAACUGCUUUUGUACGGAACGAAAAGCCCCGGGUUAAUACCCUGGGGUCAUGACGGUACCGUAAGAAUAAGCACCGGCUAACUACGUGCCAGCCGCCGCAGUAA